rnacentral:rRNA from 1 species
CGCUAUCACUCCUACGGGGAGGCAUCAGUAGGGAAUCUUCCACAAUGGGCGCAAGCCUGAUGGAGCAACACCGCGUGAGUGAAGAAGGGUUUCGGCUCGUAAAGCUCUGUUGUUAAAGAAGAACACGUAUGAGAGUAACUGUUCAUACGUUGACGGUAUUUAACCAGAAAGUCACGGCUAACUACGUGCCAGCAGCCGCGGUAAUACGUAGGUGGCAAGCGUUAUCCGGAUUUAUUGGGCGUAAAGAGAGUGCAAGCGGUUUUCUAAGUCUGAUGUGAAAGCCUUCGGCUUAACCGGAGAAGUGCAUCGGAAACUGGAUAACUUGAGUGCAGAAGAGGGUAGUGGAACUCCAUGUGUAGCGGUGGAAUGCGUAGAUAUAUGGAAGAACACCAGUGGCGAAGGCGGCUACCUGGUCUGCAACUGACGCUGAGACUCGAAAGCAUGGGUAGCGAACAGGAUUAGAUACCCUGGUAG